rnacentral:rRNA from 1 species
GACGAACCGAGCGAACGUUAUUCGGAAUCACUGGGCUUAAAGGGCGCGUAGGCGGGUCAGCAAGUCAGGGGUGAAAUCCCACGGCUCAACCGUGGAAGUGCCUUUGACACUGUUGAUCUCGAGGGAGGUAGGGGCGUGCGGAACUUCCGGUGGAGCGGUGAAAUGCGUAGAUAUCGGAAGGAACACCGGUGGCGAAAGCGGCGCGCUGGACCUCUUCUGACGCUGAGGCGCGAAAGCCAGGGGAGCAAACGGG